rnacentral:rRNA from 1 species
CACGGGGGGAGCAAGCGUUGUUCGGAAUUACUGGGCGUAAAGGGCGCGUAGGCGGCCUGCUAAGUCGAACGUGAAAUCCCCGAGCUCAACUCGGGAACUGCGUCCGAUACUGGCAGGCUUGAAUCCGGGAGAGGGAUGCGGAAUUCCAGGUGUAGCGGUGAAAUGCGUAGAUAUCUGGAGGAACACCGGUGGCGAAGGCGGCAUCCUGGACCGGCAUUGACGCUGAGGCGCGAAAGCCAGGGGAGCAAACGGG